UUUGUCUGUGAUGUGUACGCCGAGGAACUUAACUUACUACCCUCUCCACUACUGUUCCAUCGAUGUGGAUAGGGGGGUGUUCCCUCUGCUGUUUCAGGUCCAACUAAUGGGAACAUGUCCACCACUAACCUAAUUCCAAGCCCCAAAAUGCAUAAUUCUGAGAAGAUUAACUCAGUCCACUUGGGCUCGACAGUGAGUCGUUUUGGAUGCUUACCCUGCUAUAGAAAACCACAGGAUAUGGCCGACGACCUGGGUGGAGGCGACAAUAUCGACAUGGGCAAUCAGCUACAACUCUUACCCGUGCUUCGGCCCCUCUCCUCCCAGUACAAUGACGACAGCUGCCAGACCAUCCCAGUGCUUCCAUUCACCGCCAUCAUGCUUAUCCCUGGACAGACCCUGCCGCUGCAGCUCUUCAGACUGCAGGAGGUCAGCAUGAUGCGCAACAUCAUCCAGAGAGACCGCACAUUUGCUGUGCUCGCACACAGUGACAGGCGAGGUGCAUGCAGAGUUUGGGACGACAGCUGAAAUCUAUGCUUAUCGGGAGGGGCAGGAGUACAGCAUCAAGACUGUCAAAGUGAAGGUAGUCGGACGGCAGCGGUUCAAGGUCCAUGAGUUCAGAACCCAGGCAGAUGGGAGACUCUGAUGAACAGAGUGAAGAGACAGCUCCAUGAGUGGGACGAGAACCUCAAGGAUGAUUCCCUCCCCACAAACGCUAUAGAUUUCUCCUACAGAGUGGCAGCCUGUUUGACCAUAGACGAUGCCCUCCAGCUGCUGAAGAUAGGCAGUGCUGUGAGCUGGACAUCAUGAGCACACAAAGACAGACAGACACAGAGCCAUAAAUACACAUCACUAAACCUUGCAAUUUAAAGGCCAAUGCAUGAACCAGGCGAGGACUUGUUCAUCUGUCUGACACACACUGUUUGAUAUGUACCCCUACACCCACCACGAAUCCAUCCAGCUGUACCCACUGUACCCCAACUGAUCUGGUCUAAUCUCUUACCCCUACUCCUCCCUGUUGUUCUGUGGCAGACUCCCGUCUCUCCUCUCUUUCCUCUACUCUAUGUGCUAGUGUUAUAUUUAGCCACCGCCUAUUUUAAUUUUACCUUUAUUUAACUAGGCAAGUCAGUUAAGAACAAAUUCUUAUUUUCAAUGACGGCGGUUUAACAGUGGGUUAACUGCCUGUU